rnacentral:rRNA from 1 species
GGGAGGGAAUCGUCGAAGGUGGGACUGGCGAUUGGGACGAAGUCGUAACAAGGUAGCCGUACCGGAAGGUGCGGCUGGAUCACCUCCUUUCUAAGGAGCA